GGAGUAGUUCAGAGUUUGAUCCUGGCUCAGGAUGGACGCUGGCGGCGUGCCUAACACAUGCAAGUCGAACGGAACUUUUAUGGAUUGAGACUUCGGUUGAUUGAAGUUUAAGUUUAGUGGCGGACGGGUGAGUAACGCGUGAGUAACCUGCCUUUCACAGGGGGAUAACGUUUGGAAACGAACGCUAAUACCGCAUAACAUAGCGGAGUCGCAUGGCUCUGCUAUCAAAGAUUUUAUCGGUGAAAGAUGGACUCGCGUCCGAUUAGGUAGUUGGUGAGGUAACGGCCCACCAAGCCGACGAUCGGUAGCCGGACUGAGAGGUUGAACGGCCACAUUGGGACUGAGACACGGCCCAG
rnacentral:rRNA from 1 species